rnacentral:rRNA from 1 species
AGAGUUUGAUCCUGGCUCAGAGCGAACGCUGGCGGCAGGCUUAACACAUGCAAGUCGAACGGGCGUAGCAAUACGUCAGUGGCAGACGGGUGAGUAACGCGUGGGAACGUACCUUUUGGUUCGGAACAACCCAGGGAAACUUGGGCUAAUACCGGAUAAGCCCUUACGGGGAAAGAUUUAUCGCCGAAAGAUGGCCCCGCGUCUGAUUAGCUUGUUGGUGAGGUAACGGCUCACCAAGGCGACGAUCAGUAGCUGGUCUGAGAGGAUGAUCAGCCACAUUGGGACUGAGACACGGCCCAAACUCCUACGGGAGGCAGCAGUGGGGAAUAUUGGACAAUGGGCGCAAGCCUGAUCCAGCCAUGCCGCGUGAGUGAUGAAGGCCUUAGGGUUGUAAAGCUCCUUCAUCAGGGACGAUAAUGACGGGUACCUGAAGAAGAAGCCCCGGCUAACUUCGUGCCAGCAGCCGCGGUAAUACGAAGGGGGCUAGCGUUGUUCGGAUUUACUGGGCGUAAAGGGUGCGUAGGCGGAUUUUUAAGGUCAGGGGUGAAAUCCUGGAGCUCAACUCCAGAACUGCCUUUGAUACUGAGGAUCUUGAGUUCGGGAGAGGUGAGUGGAACUGCGAGUGUAGAGGUGAAAUUCGUAGAUAUUCGCAAGAACACCAGUGGCGAAGGCGGCUCACUGGCCCGAUACUGACGCUGAGGCACGAAAGCGUGGGGAGCAAACAGGAUUAGAUACCCUGGUAGUCCACGCCGUAAACGAUGAAUGCCAGCCGUUAGUGGGUUUACUCACUAGUGGCGCAGCUAACGCUUUAAGCAUUCCGCCUGGGGAGUACGGUCGCAAGAUUAAAACUCAAAGGAAUUGACGG